rnacentral:rRNA from 1 species
GACGAACGCUGGCGGCGUGCUUAACACAUGCAAGUCGAGCGGUAAGGCCCUUUCGGGGGUACGACGAGCGGCGAACGGGUGAGUAACACGUGGGUGACCUGCCCUCAGCUCUGGGAUAAGCCUGGGAAACCGGGUCUAAUACUGGAUAUGACUCCAUGACGCAUGUUGUGGGGUGGAAAGCCUUGUGCGGCUGAGGAUGGGCCCGCGGCCUAUCAGCUUGUUGGUGGGGUGANGGCCUACCAAGGCGACGACGGGUAGCCGGCCUGAGAGGGCGACCGGCCACACUGGGACUGAGACACGGCCCAGACUCCUACGGGAGGCAGCAGUGGGGAAUCUUGCGCAAUGGGCGAAAGCCUGACGCAGCGACGCCGCGUGAGGGAUGACGGCCUCGGUUG